UGCUGGAGCUGGCUGCCCCUCCCCCAUGCUCCCACACCUCGCUAGCCUUUAUAGCCUUGUGGCUUAACUCUUUCCCAUUUGAUGGUGAAGUAACAAAGCUGCAACCUUGUCAUGCCCCCAGAAUCCAGUGUAGUGACAGAUGAUCAGUGAAUGAUUAAUGAAUGACUGCAGAAACUUGGAUAAGUGGCAGUGAAAAUUAUUGAUCAAGAUACACUGUUAAGCCAGGCACAGAGGCACCCAGUGACUUGGGAGGCUGAAUCAGGAGGAUUGCAAGUUUGAAUCCAGCCUCAGCAACUUAGUGAGGACCCAAGAAACUUAAUGAGACCCUGUCCCAAAUAAAAAUAAAAAGGGCUGGGGAUGUGGCUCACUGUAGUAUAACCCUGGAUUCAAUCUUCAGUACCAAAACAAAAAGUCAAAACGCUGCUAAGCUUGCCCACCCAGGAUGCAGUGCAAACGCUUACUUGUGAGUGGGACAGAGCAUAUGAAUUUCUUAAUAAAAUGUCAAAGGAUGAUGCUCACGAGAAAGUAAAGUGUAAAAGUAAAAAUAAAGAGAGAAACAAUUGAAUGGGGUGGGGAAGGGCAGCUUUGCUUGGCUUGGAAGUUUGGGGAGCCUUUUGAUGAGACAGAAGGGCUCUACAAUGGUGUGGAAAGUCGUGAAGUGUUCUGAGGAUUCAAGAGACCAGUUGAAACUUCAUUCUAAAGGUCAGGGGAAGUCACUGAAAGAUUUUGCACAGGGGAGAACAAGGACGAGAGUCUUGUAAAAAAUAUACGUGACUAUAUGACCAAUGUGAUUCUGC
rnacentral:lncRNA from 1 species